GAUGAACGCUGGCGGCGUGCCUAAUACAUGCAAGUCGAACGCAUUGAGAGAAGUGCUUGCACCUUUCAAUUUGAGUGGCGAACGGGUGAGUAACACGUGGGCAACCUACCUGAUAGCGGGGGAUAACGAGUGGAAACAUUCGCUAAUACCGCAUAACAAUAGAGAAGGCAUCUUCUUUAUUUAAAAGGCGCUUUCAAGCGUCACUAUCAGAUGGGCCCGCGGUGCAUUAGUUAGUUGGUGGGGUGAAGGCCUACCAAGACGAUGAUGCAUAGCCGAGUGGAGAGACUGAUCGGCCACAUUGGUACUGAGACACGGCCCAAACUCCUACGGGAAGCUGCAGUAGGGAAUCUUCCACAAUGGACGAAAGUCUGAUGGAGCAACGCCGCGUGUGUGAUGAAGGCUUUCGGGUCGUAAAGCACUGUUGUAUGGGAAGAAAUGCUAGGCUAGGAAAUGAGCUUAGUUUGACGGUACCAUACCAGAAAGGGACGGCUAAAUACGUGCCAGCCGCCGCCGUAA
rnacentral:rRNA from 1 species